rnacentral:lncRNA from 1 species
CUCCAAUGUGAAUGGUAUUACAUGUUACUGGGUGCAUGUCAUUCAGAGGUUCGUAUAGUAAACAAACCAAAGACCUGGUGUUGCUGGUUCAUCACUCUAUCUGCUUCCCUCUGUAUUUCACCACAGGGCUUCAGCAGAACUCUCAGCCACAGCACUGCAUUCCACUGACUCUUCAGGUCAUCAAAAAUAAAAUAGAAUGGUUGAUCUAAAUUAUCUUUAAAGUUCUUUUCCGUACUUGCUGGGUAAUUUCCCACAUGGGUUUGACAAAAAGGGCUUUAGCUUUCAAAAAUAACAAAUUCAAGCAAGUGAAAAGGCAUUAGGGUUGGUUAUUUUGGUAUCAUGUGGAUACAAUUUUAAAGACUGAAUAGUCAUCUACAAAAGAUUGUUGAAUUUUAUGGUACACCAACAACCACCAAGCAUGCUUCUAAGUGGGAUAAAAAGUGGUUUAGUUAAGGUUGGUAAGUGGAUGCAGAUCUUAUGACCCAAGAAAAUGGUUCUCAAUUGUCUUCCUUCCAAGCCCUGCAGAGUUGCUCCCACCCUGCCUCCGGCCCUAUUAUGAGUGUGUUGAACAUGACCCCAACCAAACCACAACCGCAAAAAUUUAUUGUUCUUGAGUUUACAGAAAUAUCAAAUCACGCUCUUCAGAAAUCUGAAGCCAGUGUUCCCCAUUGUGUGCAAACAGUGCGUUCCCUGAGCAGGAAGGACAAAGAAACCUCACCCUGCCCUGUACAGAGAUUCCUGUAGGGAGCAGGUAAUCUCUGCAGCCCAUCAGCAGUCAGCUCUCCGUCUCUGCCCAGGACAGGAAAUUCAGAAGAAGAAGAAAAAUGUUCUCUCCACGAGCCAUUUUUCUUUUAGAGGUUUCCAUGUUCCAAGUCAGUGUCCCACUA